CCUGCAGGAAAGGACAUCAACCGAGACUCCGCAAGUAGCGGCGAGCGAACGCGGACCAGGCCAGUGGCAAUGAGGAAUAAAGUGGAAAGAUCUGGAAAGGUCUGCCGUAGCGGGUGACAGCCCCGUACACGUAGAACACUCAUUGUCCUUGAGUAGGGCGGGACACGAGAAAUCCUGUCUGAACAUGGGGAGACCACUCUCCAAGCCUAAGUACUCGUGCAUGACCGAUAGCGAACAAGUACCGUGAGGGAAAGGUGAAAAGCACCCCGACAAGGGGAGUGAAAUAGAACCUGAAACCGGAUGCCUACAAACAGUCGGAGCCCGCAAGGGUGACGGCGUACCUUUUGUAUAAUGGGUCAACGACUUAGUGUGGCAUGCAAGCUUAAGCCGGUAGGUGGAGGCGUAGCGAAAGCGAGUCUGAACAGGGCGCUUUAGUAUGUCGCAUUAGACCCGAAACCGAGUGAUCUAGCCAUGAGCAGGUUGAAGGUUGGGUAACACCAACUGGAGGACCGAACCCGCAUCUGUUGCAAUAGAUUGGGAUGACUUGUGGCUAGGGGUGAAAGGCCAAUCAAACUCGGAAAUAGCUGGUUCUCCGCGAAAUCUAUUUAGGUAGAGCGUCGACCGAAUACCCCCGGGGGUAGAGCACUGGAUGGGCUAUGGGGACUCACCGUCUUACUGAUCCUAACCAAACUCCGAAUACCGGGGAGUACUAGUCGGCAGACACACGGCGGGUGCUAACGUCCGUCGUGAAGAGGGCAACAACCCUGACCUCCAGCUAAGGUCCCCAAGUCAUGGCUAAGUGGGAAAGGAUGUGAGGAUCCCAAAACAACCAGGAUGUUGGCUUAGAAGCAGUCAUCAUUUAAAGAAAGCGUAACAGCUCACUGGUCUAAAUAAGGGUCUUUGCGCCGAAAAUGUAACGGGGCUAAAGCCAUGCACCGAAGCUGAGGCUUGUAGCAUUCCUCGGAGUGCUGCAGGGGUAGCGGAGCGUUCCGUAAGCCUGUGAAGGGAUACCCGUGAGGGGUCCUGGAGGUAUCGGAAGUGCGAAUGUUGACAUGAGUAACGAUAAAGAGGGUGAGAGACCCUCUCGCCGAAAGACCAAGGGUUCCUGCUUAAAGUUAAUCUGAGCAGGGUUAGCCGGCCCCUAAGACGAGGCGGACACGCGUAGUCGAUGGGAACCACGUUAAUAUUCGUGGGCCUGGUGGUAGUGACGGAUUGCUUAACUUGUUCGGACUUAAUGGAUUGUCCGGGCGGGGACGCGGUUCCAGGAAAUAGCUCCACCGUAUAGACCGUACCCGAAACCGACACAGGUGGUCAGGUAGAGUAUACCAAGGCGCUUGAGAGAACUAUGCUGAAGGAACUCGGCAAAUUGCACGCGUAACUUCGGAAGAAGCGUGACCCUUUUUGACGCAAGUCAGAUGGGGUGGCACAGACCAGGGGGUAGCGACUGUUUAUCAAAAACACAGGGCUCUGCGAAGUCGCAAGACGACGUAUAGGGUCUGACGCCUGCCCGGUGCUGGAAGGUUAAGAGGAGGGGUGCAAGCUCUGAAUCGAAGCCCCAGUAAACGGCGGCCGUAACUAUAACGGUCCUAAGGUAGCGAAAUUCCUUGUCGGGUAAGUUCCGACCUGCACGAAUGGCGUAACGACUUCCCCGCUGUCUCCAGCAUAGACUCAGUGAAAUUGAAUUCCCCGUGAAGAUGCGGGGUUCCUGCGGUCAGACGGAAAGACCCCGUGCACCUUUACUAUAGCUUUACACUGGCAUUCGUGUCGGCAUGUGUAGGAUAGGUGGUAGGCUUUGAAGCGGGGACGCCAGUUCUCGUGGAGCCAUCCUUGAAAUACCACCCUUAUCGUCAUGGAUGUCUAACCGCGGUCCGUUAUCCGGAUCCGGGACAGUGUAU
rnacentral:rRNA from 1 species